GGAAAUAAGAGCAAAAUGCCCCCGUAAUUGAUAAGUAUAGCAUAAAUAUCCCAUGUUGAUCCUUGAAAUUGGUUAUUGUGUGGCGUUGGUUGGAAUUAGCUUGUUGUGGAUGUCUUAAAUUUAUAUUGUAUGAUGCCUUAGAAGAGAUUUGUUAUGUAUUAAAUUUGAUUGUAUGUCAAUUUAUAUGGUUGGAACACACACACACUAUAAUAGUGAUAAUAGUUUGAGAUGCAAUGGUUGGCAAGGAAUUAUGAAUUGGUUUUGUUUUGAGGUGUUAACAUGUUUACUUGAUUUCUCUGAG
rnacentral:lncRNA from 1 species